rnacentral:lncRNA from 10 species
CAAUGAGAUAAAUGUGAUGAGGGAACAAGAGGCAGAAGAAAUUUGAAAUUUGAAAGGGACUUGACUCAUAGUUGUUGGCUUUGACGAUGGACAAAGGGGGCCAUAAGCCAAGGAAUUCAAACAGCCACCAGUGAAAUGGGGUAUGGCUAUCCUAUAAUUGCAAGAAAUUAUAUCUUGCCAACAAUCUGAUUGAGCAAAGAAAUGGAUUCUACCCUAGAGCUUCCAAUUGGGAAUGCCAUUUGGAUGAUACCAUGAUGAGACCCUAUUGGACUAUGACUAACAGAACUGUAAGAUAACAAAUGUGGGUUGUUUAAGCUGCUUAAUUUGUGGCAUUUUGUUUUGUCAAGAGCAGAAAACUAAUAUAGCAUGCAAUUUCUUAUAUAACAAUAUUUAACUACUUAUAAUCAAUGACAUACAAAACACUCAUGAAGAGUUUUAUGCAUUUAGUAUUCUAAUUUAAGAAAAAUGGUUCAAAAUAAUAAGUAAAGGUAUGAAUUUUCUUUUUAUGCCCAGGAAAAGUAGGCUCUGGAAAACCACAGGGUCAUGGAAAUGAUAUGAGUCAUGACAAUCAUUCCCAAUUCUCUGAACUUAAGGCCUCACCUGGCCACAGAUCUAUCAGUCUGACUGACAAAUGCUAGGACUGUAGGUGUUAGCAGAAAAGAAUGCAAAGGGAGGGAGAAAUGGGGUCCUCCUGGGAAUGUACAGCAUAAUUUGAAACAGAGAUUUGAUAAGUGUACCAGUUAUCAGAUUAAAGAAGUUUGUACAAAUACCUACCUUUCAGGCAUGUUUCUAAUAUCAGAGAACUGCUGAGAAUAUUUGGCAAGAAAUGGCACAGGGCUGCUUUUUCACACUGUCCACUUAGACUCAGGUCUCUUUUCAUCUGGGUUUGGCUGCCCUUGCUGCCAUACUUAUUUUGAGAUAUCACUUGUUCUCCUAUCAUGCCAUCUCCAUCUGACCCAUUCGCUGGAAGAUCUGAAACAGUUUCAGGCUGAGUAGCAUGUUAGGGUAUGCCUAGUGCAUACCUAAGCAGCUAUUAGCCAGAAGACAUGCAUUGUGAUCUUGAUUUAUUCCCAUUAUUUAAAUAUUUACCAGGAUGACAAGUGCUGAACUCUGUGUUCUGUGCUUCAUCACUAAGACAAUUCCCCAAAGAGAAACAGCAGUGGAAAAGCACAGAUACCAAUUCUUGAAAAAUGAGCUUUUGUUUGCAUAAAGAGUUAAGUUGCAGAAAUAAUAAACUAAGUUAUAACCGUACAAACCUCAUGUGACUGUACACAGGCAAAGAGAAAUUCUUUUUAUGGUUGCUAAUAUUAUUACUUUGUUUCUUAAGUACUUCAGGAGUCCCUGUUUCCAGUAAGAUGCAACACAUAGAAACAUUCCAUUUUAAACAAAUUUUACACAAAUUUUUUCAAGCACAAAGGUACACAUUGAUUUCAGGCAUGAAAUUGAAUUAAUAAUUCUCCACCAUCACAUAACUUGAAUGUGGUAAAACAGGUUUUACUUACUUUACUGCAUAAAAAAAAUUCUGCUGCAACAUGGAAGAUACUGUCUAAGAGUAGGUUCUAUUACCAAUCUGUACCACUUCAGUAUUGAAUACUUACAGGAAUUCUUUAUUGCAAUAUGAUAAUAAGCAAAUUAAAUUUUGUAGUAAAAUGACAAAGGCAGUGGUUAAAAUUUAGGUGUGAAUGUUAAAUGUCCAUUUAAAAGGGUGGAUAGAAUUGAAGGUUUAUCAAAGUAAUUGUGGUCACCAAUGUUGAGAAAACAGAAUAAAGACAGACAAAGACAAACGGAGAUGACACUUGAACAGAAGGAACAGUAAAGGUUUCUGGGUUGUUUCUUCAAGAUGGCUGACUAGUGAUGUUGAAUGCCAGUUCUCCUCAGAAAGUAGAUCAAAGUAAUAGAGGAUUGGCCACGGUCCAAGUGGAAAACCGAGGGAAGAGAGCAAUGAUCUGUCAGAGAGCCCAUGUGAAGAAGCUGGGAUGCAGAAAAGCAAAGGGUAGGUGGAGUUGCUUCUCUGCUCCCCUCAUCCCUGGGACAAUCUGCUGACUGCUAAAUUGCUGGAGAGUUUUCUUCACCCUCACAACCUGGCUAUGAUGGUGGCAAUUUGGAGACUUCCCAGAGACAGAGAACCAGGUUGCCACCUCAUGCAGGGGAACCCACAUUCCCUCAGGCCUUAACUGAGAUAGAGGGCAACAUACUGUUUUUAUACCUACUGUGGGCUACUGCCCUAUCUGGAGAACCUCAGCUGUUCGGUCACCACAUCACGAGGUCCCCUGCAAAUAUAGUCCACGACUCAAUCUGACUUUGGAAACCACAGGGACUGGUGUGUCCCUGGAAAGCUGCAGGAUGCCUGAAGAUCUAACCCUUGACAUGGACUGCCCUGAAGGGAGGAGGGAACACAGCUCACCAAAGCCCCCCUUGGGACAAGGGGAGAUGUGGACACAGUGGCAAAUGCCAAAGGGAGUGGGACCAGUGGGCAGGAACAUAUAUGCAGAGGGGGUUAUCUCUUGCUCCCCCUAACCACUAUUUUAGAAGUAGCAGAGGCUCUCCUGCUGGUGGCCAGCAUGUGUGCACUUGGAGAAAGGCUUUGGAGUUAUUUUCAUGGUGACUGCACCCCUGUUGAAAGUGAUCGUGUGCAGUAGGUGCAUCCAUAAAUGAUGAGGAUUAUCUUCCCUUCUCUAAACAGACUGGCAGUGUCCUGGCAAUGGAAGGCAGAUACACCACAAGGUUUUCUGCUCUGCACUGGAGAAAGAGGCUCUGCCCUGAGCCCAUUUCAGUGGUAGCCACCAGAGGGGCAUAUCUGUAGCCUGCAGCUGCACUGUGACCUGAAAUAAAAGGACAAUGUCUAUUUGAAUUGAAGAUUGCAAGCUUGCAACAGGGGCAUGAUAGGGAAGUGGAUCACAUUUCUGUCUGUGGAAGACAAAGAGCUGAUGCAUGUACUUGGGCCCCAUCCCCUGAGACCUUAGUGCACUCCCUCAAAAUUUCCCCUGGUCAAUCCCCAUUAAGGUGAGUGCCUUCACUCAUUAUUGGGCUAUGCAAAGAUGAGUUGGUUCUUAUUCUUAAGCACCAAGGACAGGAAUGGUGACUGAACUGCACAGUCAAAUAAAAAACCUGUCUCAGAAGGGCAUAACGGUAGCGUAUAAGAUAAGCUUCCUACACCUUUCAGCUUUUAGCCCCACAAGACAUAGUAUGUCAGCCCAUAUGUUCAAUAUAUUGCUACAACAAGCAGCAUUAGAGCAAGUCACCACACAAAAGCUAUACACAACCAUGGAACCCAUAUCAAGUCUAGGCCCUGAAAGCAUCCAGAAACUAAGCCAAGCAAUCAUAUGCAACAUACACCCCACUCAUAUUCUCAAGAGGAAAAAAUAACAAAAAAAAAAGUCCCAUCCAAACGACAGCAAAUUCAGAAAUAAGAAGUAAUAACACCUUCAGAUGAGAAGAAAUCAGUGCAAAAACUCUUACAGUAAAAAAAUACAAAUAAAAAGAAAGAAAAAGAUGAUUUGACACCUCCCACAGAUCAAACUAGUUUUCUAGCAAUGGAUCCUAAUUGAAAUAAAAAUUCUGAAAUGACAGAUUAAGAAUUCAAAAUACAGAUUGCAAGAAAGCUCAGUGAGAUCCAAGAGAAAGUAGAAAAUCAACACAAACCAGAAAAAUAAUUAAGGAUAUCAAAGAUAAGAUAGCUAUAUUUUUUAAAAAAGAGCUUCUGGAAUCAAAGUACUUACUAAAGUAGUUUCAAAACACAAUUUGAA